GGUUGGGAGCUCUCCCAGUGGCUUGCUGUGGAACCUCAGGAGCUCACAUCUGGGAGCCGGCUUCCUUCCUUACACCAUAAUGGUCCAAUGCCAGUCAGCUUGCUCGAACCCCUACCAACCCCUCUUUCUUGAUGAAAGCAGAGGUGGGGGUCAGAUGAGAGAACUUCUGAACGAGCCUUUUCUUCUUUUAUUACACAUGUUAGUCUGGUCAGUCCUCUCCUUCUAUCAUGUGUGUACUGACUGGGUCUUGAGCUCUGAUUGCCCUCUGAGCCAUCUCACCUGACCUACGGGGGAGACCUUUCCUGUUGGAAUUCUUCCGUAAGAACUGAGCCCUUCUAUCAAGCUUACAGGGUAGGAAAGCAAACGUGUCUCAUUCGACUUCAUAAUAAGUGAGGGGAGGGGCGCAGUUGAUCCAUGGACCUCCCCCAGACCCAGGUACCCUCAAACUCAGAAGAACAGUAAACCGGUGUUUCACUAAGCAUUUGUGGCAAACGGGUGCAAAUAAACCCAGGGAUCCUUGAUAAAAACAUGGUUUACACAUCUCCUUCACUUGGUCACCACCAUGCCAAGCCAGAACAAGAUGAGAGAUGUCUUGGGCUGAGGUGCCUUCUAUAGGAGGUAACCCUAGAGACAUUCUAGGUACUGCUGGAAGCUGGGGUCCAGUAGGCCGAAAGGUCAGCGCUCAGGCAGCCAUGGAGACCUAGAAGGGCAUCAGGACCAGAUGGUCAAGA